UACGAAGGGGGCUAGCGUUGUUCGGAAUCACUGGGCGUAAAGGGCGCGUAGGCGGCUUUAUAAGUCGGGGGUGAAAGCCUGUGGCUCAACCACAGAAUUGCCUUCGAUACUGUAUGGCUUGAGACCGGAAGAGGUAAGUGGAACUGCGAGUGUAGAGGUGAAAUUCGUAGAUAUUCGCAAGAACACCAGUGGCGAAGGCGGCUUACUGGUCCGGUUCUGACGCUGAGGCGCGGAAAGCGUGGGGAGCAAACAGG
rnacentral:rRNA from 1 species